rnacentral:snRNA from 1 species
GUGCUCACUUCGGCAGUACAUAUACUAAAUAAAAUUGGAACAAUACAGAGAUUAGCAUGGCCCCUGAGCAAGGAUGACACACAAAUUCAUGAAGCGUUCCAUAUUUUU